rnacentral:rRNA from 1 species
GUCCGCACCGUAAACGAUGAUUACUCGCUGCUUGGGGGCAACCCUGAGUGGCCAAGCGAAAGCGAUAAGUAAUCCACCUGGGGAGUACGCCGGCAACUGUGAAACUCAAAGGAAUUGACGGGGGCCCGCACAAGCGGAGGAGCAUGUGGUUUAAUUCGAUGAUACGCGAGGAACCUUACCAGGGCUUGAAAGUUAGGGAAUGACUCUGAAAGGAGUCAGUCAGCAAUGACCCGAAACUAGGUGCUGCAUGGCUGUCGU